UACGUAGGGUGCGAGCGUUGUCCGGAAUUAUUGGGCGUAAAGCGCACGUAGGCGGAUUGCUAAGUCAGGGGUGAAAUCCUGGAGCUCAACUCCAGAACUGCCCUUGAUACUGGCGGUCUCGAGUCCGGGAGAGGUGAGUGGAACUGCGAGUGUAGAGGUGAAAUUCGUAGAUAUUCGCAAGAACACCAGUGGCGAAGGCGGCUCACUGGCCCGGUACUGACGCUGAGGUGCGAAAGCGUGGGGAGCAAACAGG
rnacentral:rRNA from 1 species